UGCGUAGGCGGGCUAAUAAGUCAGUGGUGUAAUCUCUCGGCUCAACCGGGAAACUGCCAUUGAUACUGUUAGUCUUGAGUUCGGUUGAGGUAGGCGGAAUGUGUAAUGUAGCGGUGAAAUGCUUAGAUAUUACACAGAACACCAAUUGCGUAGGCAGCUUACUAGACCGACACUGACGCUGAGGCACGAAAGCGUGGGGAGCGAACAGGAUUAGAUACCCUGGUAGUCC
rnacentral:rRNA from 1 species